rfam:Echinococcus multilocularis genomic scaffold, pathogen_EMT_contig_0195
GGCUCAGUGGUCUAGGGGUAUGAUUCGCGCUUCGGGUGCGCGAGGUCCCGGGUUCAAAUCCCGGCUGAGCCC